AGAGUUUGAUUAUGGCUCAGAUUGAACGCUGGCGGCAUGCUUUACACAUGCAAGUCGAACGGCAGCACAGGGAGCUUGCUCCCGGGUGGCGAGUGGCGCACGGGUGAGUAAUACAUCGGAACGUGUCCUGUUGUGGGGGAUAACUGCUCGAAAGGGUGGCUAAUACCGCAUGAGACCUGAGGGUGAAAGCGGGGGAUCGCAAGACCUCGCGCAAUUGGAGCGGCCGAUGCCCGAUUAGCUAGUUGGUGAGGUAAAGGCUCACCAAGGCGACGAUCGGUAGCUGGUCUGAGAGGACGACCAGCCACACUGGGACUGAGACACGGCCCAG
rnacentral:rRNA from 1 species